rnacentral:rRNA from 1 species
CAGAGGGUGCAAGCGUUAAUCGGAUUUACUGGGCGUAAAGCGCGCGUAGGCGGCUAAUUAAGUCAAAUGUGAAAUCCCCGAGCUUAACUUGGGAAUUGCAUUCGAUACUGGUUAGCUAGAGUGUGGGAGAGGAUGGUAGAAUUCCAGGUGUAGCGGUGAAAUGCGUAGAGAUCUGGAGGAAUACCGAUGGCGAAGGCAGCCAUCUGGCCUAACACUGACGCUGAGGUGCGAAAGCAUGGGGAGCAAACAGG